rnacentral:misc_RNA from 1 species
AGCAAUAAUAAUAAUAAUGAAAUGACCGUCAAUCGUCACCAAGUCUCCUCCUCGACGAGCAACUUCAACGCGGACGAUCCUUGGGAACAGGAUUUCCUCUGGAGGGAGAGCCUUCGAAGAGUGAGUUUGCGAAACGCCAGAUCGUUGGACAAUCUGGACAACCAAGCUCCCAGACAGCAGCCAACCGUGACGCCAAAUUCGGACUCGAAAGGAGGAGGAGCGAGGAACAAGAUCACUCGUGGCGCCACCUACGUGAACGACAGCGUGAUUCUCUCGAGAGGAAGGGAUAACUUCUGCCCUCUGGAGGACAGGCCUCGAGUGAUGAAACGGAGAGGGGGAGAUAAGGGGCAGCGAGAGGAAGAUAGGGAAGAGGAGGAGGAGGAGGAGGAGAUGGUCGACGAUCUGACGUACGAGAGCCUGUCGAUGGAACGGAUUCACGCGGGGGGUUAUGUUUGGGACGCGCAGAACGAGGCCUAUCGCAAGGCGACCACCAUCGACGCAACCACUACCACUACAACCGCAACCACGAACACUACUGCGAUCACCGAGGAUAGAGAUCAUUUUUUAGAGGAAGGCAACCUUCCCUCGGUUCGCUCGAUCUCCGCGUCCGCGGCGUUCGAGCUCGAUCGGGAGAAGCUGCGACAGUGGGACCUGUUGUCGAGCGCCUGCUUACUCCAGGAACAGCAACAGCAACAGCAGCAGCAACAGCAGCAGCAGCAGCGCGGCUCGAUGGCGGACUCGGGGCGAGGGUUGCCAAUCGUGGAACGGCCUGGAGACGUUCUCGACGCGUCGAGGAACAGUGGCGCCAACGCGUUCUCGUUGACCAAUCACGAUCGAGAUGUCGCUCUGAAGGCGCUCGAGUGCAAGGCCAGCACGGCGAUUACGAGCGACAGGCAACAGCUGAACGAGACCAAGGAGGCUUGUAACAGGGCUGCAGCGUCCGGAUCUGGAUCGGUGAUAGGGAGGGAUCCACUUCCGCCGAGAGCUGUCAGCACUUCACAACUGGCUCAAAGAACGCAAACUCAACCCCCGGCUACGGUGUCCACCCUUCCAUUGCCGAGGAGCAAUGCCACGCACAGGCAGCCCCUGCCCCUUCACCAAUCCACCCCUCAAUCGGUCAGACAAUCGGAAAACGACAUGGCCAAUUCGCAGCUAUUACGAGUCGCCAGCAACGGUGACAUUGGAACCGGAUCUACGAUGUUGAACAACACCAACAACGAUGGAAAGGAUAUAAGGUUAACAUCUCCGGGCGGACACGCAACUCAACGAUUGAUGAGUCCGGCCGGGGCAUUAAGGGUCGUUUCCAUGAAUGACCACCGAGUCUCCAGCCCUAGUGACAGCGACAUACGAGUUCACAGUCCAAUUGAAAGAAAAAUGGUGAGCCCAAUCGGCAGAGAAGUGGACCGUGGUGGAGGCACGGCUAUCAGACAGAAUCAACGCGUAUGGGAGUACAAUGAGUUGCUGCACAAAAGGAGCAACCAGCGAGCAGAGGGUGGGUGCAAGUUGGCGCACCAGCAAGGAGCCCACGGACUGGUUCGCGUUUCCGCCGGUGAACUCCUCGGCAGGACCCACGAGGAGUUGGUGCUCCUGCUGAUCCAGCUACGCCGGCAGAACGCCACCAUCUACAAAGCGAUGGAGACCUGCCAGAUGGAGAUCGAGGCACAGGCUAGAUUGGCAGAACUCGAUACACCGCGACGAUUGGAGAACCUUCAGAAGCUCGACGAACUGAAGAAACACCUGAUGGAUCUCGAGAAGCAGUACGAGAAGGGCAAACCGCUGGUGAAUUUGGUCGACAAUAUGGUGAAGUUGGGCUCCCUGUACAAUCGCAACACUGCCAAUGGGACCAACAGUGUAUCCGGUUCACGACACGAUCUGGCACACGACAAUUCGAGGGAUCAUCGGUUGGAAUUCAAUCAGAAGGUGCAGGAGCAACGUUUGCUUGCCGAGGAGCGAAGGGACUGGGACCGAUUGAGCCCCGACCAUGGACAAUUACAGGCCAAGGUGCAGCAGCUCUACAAACUGGAUCGGUUGCUCCAGGAGGAAUCCGGAACACUUCACAGUCUUCAGCAAGACAAGGAGAUCCUGGAAAAAGCUCUAGGCGGCCUCCGGCACAAACUGCAAGGAAGCAGGAGCAAUUUGGCCGAGGCCGAGAGAUACAGGAAGCAACAGCUUCUGCUGGAAAAAGAGCUGAGCAGAGUGAGGGUGUUGUUGGCGCACAACUCGAAGGUAAAGCCGGUAUUCUUCCAGAAACUCGAAGAGACGGUGGCCGAGAACGCGAGAUUGGAACAAGACCUGGUUGUGCUUCGGCAGAAGCUUCAAGCGUCGAGAAGAUACGCGGGGAACGUGACCAGGGACACUUCGGCAACCACUGGCCCCCUCGAAGCGGAAUUGAGACGGGUUCAACAAUUGGUCGGUGAUUUGCAGAGACAACGAAAGGAAUUGAGUAUUCAAGUUAGACAGCUCACGGAGAAGUCUCAUAACUUGGUGCAGCAGAUCCGACCGCAACCUACUUCUGCUCCUCAAGUGCACCAGCCGAAGAAGCGGACGCAAAACUCUUGGUUGGAGACCGAUCUCGAUUCCGGAAUAACUUUGGAUCACGGUUUGGAUUCACCAUCGAGUCCCGCAUUAUCCUCCUCGCCCCGUGGCAAGCAGAACGGCGGACCGUAUCCGCAUUUCAGUUCACCGACGCAGAUCAAAGACUCGUCACCCACGAGUCGUCAGCAGCAAGCCAACCUGCAAUCGUACCCUCAAUCGCCCCAGAAUCAUAUUUCUUCGCUCUCUCCUCAGUUACGUGAACAGAUCCAUCAGCAUCAGCUGAAGCAACAGCUUCUCAAGGAUCAGAUGCAAGGGAAAGGAAGUCUUAUACAAGCGAAUGUCGCUCCUUUGUAUAUAAACACAGAUUCUAGAAUUCAAGAGAACAACAAGCAAGAUGGGAAUCUGACAAAUGGCGUAAUUCUUCCACCAGAGUACAUUCCACCUCCACCACCGCCACCCCUGAACGAAGAAGCGUUGCUGAACGAUAAUUACAGACAGAACGAGGACAACAAGUUUACCGGCUUGAUCCACAACCGUGAGAAACAAGAGAUUAAGACCGUGCGAAUAGUGAAGCGGGAAUCGGAAAGACGGCAAAGAGAUAGAGGAGACAGAACUGGAAACAUUGGAAUUCCAUUAACGAACGGGCUUCAGGCGCCCGGGGGUGCUAAGAGAUUGUGCGACGAUGAUUUAGGAGGUUCUCAGAAGUUCGAGAAGGCUCAAUUAGGAAAGGUGGUAGAAGAGUCGCCGAUGAUUCACGCUCAAAGCACAGUCCAGUUGACGGACUUGGACGACGUGCAGUUCCAAAGAAGCAUGUCCUUGCCGAGAGGUUUCGGCGGGCAACGGCUGCAACAGCCGGAGAUCCAUCAAGUUCCGGUUGUGCCUCCUCCUAGAAGCGAUAGCAUGCACGCCUUGAGAACCAUGCUGGCGAGACGUAAUAAGGUCAGGUUCGAAACGCAACAUGAAGGAAGCUCGGACAGUACUUUGUCGCCGUACACGGAGAGCCUCGCCUCGAGCACGCAUCUUCCUAUCAGCUCGCCAAAUUACUCGACCAGUCCGUCCUACAGUCCUAGUAGCCACCAGCAAAAUUACACGAUCAAAUCGAGCCAUCAUCACCAUCCGUAUUAUACAUCGUACAGGCAGUAUAGUGAGAAUCAAGGCAAUGUUCAGGAACCGAUAAGCCCGGAAUUGUUGACAUCGAGCAACCUCGAAGGUCAGGAGAAAGCUUACGGCUCGUCGUUGAAUGUAAACACGUCGAGCUCCUCGCCUCAAUUGUCGCCCGUGUUCAAGAGCGAGGCAGCAAGACAGAUCAUCAAGGAAAUGACAGAGAAAAAAGUCGAGGGACCGAGACGCAGGCAGAUCCCUCGCGAGAAAAGGCGACACUAUACCGUGUCCAGUAGCAAACCUAUCCUCGACCUAGAGGAUACGUUCUCAAAGAUGGGAAUGGGAAGAGCUAGAGACGAUCUGGACAUGGAACGAGCGCUCAGGCCGAGGAUCAAUGCUCCGGAUGUUGUCAGAUCGACUUUGAGCCACAAAGAGUUGAAGUAUAACGAGAGCACUAUCGAUCAACUUUUGGGAACGCCGAAUAAGAUCGUGAUUCCCGAAAGAUACAUACCUGAACAGACACCGGAGUUAACCGCGGAAGAGCAGGAGCAACGAUUGAAGAAAGCGGAAGCAAUAAGGAAGAUGUUGUCUGAAACAACCGUGACCGCGCCAGACGGAAGUGAUGACAAUAUUAAUAUCGAGCAAUCUGAUAGUUUGAAGAGAAAAGUAGUAGAAGAAAAACGACAAAGGGAACAUAUUCUACAAUUGAAUCAAAUUUUAGCUAAGCAAGUUAUGGAAAAGAGCAAGAUGGUGGCGGGUAACCAGGCACACUGACUGACAUGCUUUCUCCAUCUUCCCAUAUAGGACACGCACAUCAUAUUAUCGUUUCUCAGUGAAAGCACUGGCUACCCUUCCUUUGAAGACCGAAUCGAGCUUAGAAGACGAAGAUCUCUCGCCUGUAACACCAUUACCACUAUAUCAGCAGAGAGAGAACUAUUACUCAUAAGAAAAAUGAUAGACAAGUUAAAAUCUCUCGUACAGCUGAUAAAUCUUUUUAGCACAAAGUGAAAACGCUACUGCCAGCCCGGAACAACAGAGAAAUAAACAUCUUUCUUCUUCAAACAUUUUUUGAAAUUUCAUAAAAAGGUGGUUUACCUGACACUUGCUAUUAUGAUUAUAUUAACGAUUUAAGAAAAAGAAAAAAAGAUGUUUUUUUUUUUUAUUUGCAUCGAUAUUGUACAUAAUCAUCGAUUUAAUAAACUGAUAAUAAAUAGUUGUCGUCUGAAUUAUCGAUAAGAAUUAGUAAUGUAAUGGAUGUCGAACAAAAUUAGAUGAAUAAUAUUUACGGAAGAAAAUAGUAAAUAUCCAAAUGAAAUUAUUUCAAAAAUAAAGAAACUUUUAAUUUUUUUUUUUUUUACUGCGUUCUCUUUCCUAAUCAAAUUCAAUUUCUUUUUUGUAACAUAUAUAGUUCAAUCGACUAAUAAUACCUUAUAUUUACUAUUUUCUACUUGAAAUGUUAUGAUCAUUUAAUUAUGACGUCGAGACAGGAUGGUUUCAAGUUUCGACUCGUAUGAAACUUUAAUCGUGUCAUUCAUUGGAUUACUGAAUCUAUGUUAAGAACACUUUUAACAAGAAAUUUCGAUGAAUAUUCUACUCUUAUACGGUCUUAUACAGUUUUUAAACGAUAAGCACAUAUAAAACUCCAUCAUUAUAAAAUUAAAGACUUAUUAUGAGGCCUAUAUUUCGUAAUGUAAAUGUUGCUCGAACAUAAAAUAUUCUAGUGGUAUAAUAUUCUGAGACCAUUUAUGCUUGACGCCAUACUGCCUCGAUGUUUUCUCUUCUAUUCGAAGAGAAUGCUUCCACAAGUUUCUAUCACUAGCAAUAACAAUAAUAAUAUAAUAAUAAUAAUAAUAAUAAUAAUAAUAAUAACAAUAACAAUAACAACAACAAUAAUAAUAAUAAUAACAACAAUAAUAAUCAUAAUAUUAAUAAUAAAUUAAGAAACAGCGAUCGCACAAUGCGGUUCAUCUAGAAAAUGACUGUAAUCGAAUUCUUGUAACUUGUAUGAAUGCUAUUAUUUAGGAAAGGAAUCAAGUAUAAUAAUAAAAUAAAUAUUUAGGAACAUGGUUAAUCACUGAGUUCGGCUAAUAUUAGAUAAUUUGAAUGCUAUUCCAAUUUCUUGCUAGUAUAAUUUGUUAAAAAAAUAUUAUUUAGAUUCUAACAUUAAUUCUUAUGUAAUUUCAAUUUCUAUUUAAACAAAUCUAUUCUUUUUAUAAUUCUUUCAUUAAUAAAAGAUUCGUUUAUAAACUAUUAGCCGAAUUCAGUUUUUGUUUGUUACACGAAACCAUGCUUUGCAAACUCGUCUUUCAAUCUUAAAUUUACAUUUACAUUUAUAUUUACUAACGUUAAUAGCAAAUAAUUUAUUGUAUGUAUGUAUAUAUAUAUGUAUAUAUUGCAACGAGUUUGGGAAUCAUCGGUUCAAAUUGGUUUAUGUAAGAGGAACGAAUAUGUAUAUUAGAAAUAAGAUAGAAUAUAAGGUUGCGUUUAUGCUAGGUGCUAUGAGUAACGCAACAUAGUCAAAUAAUGAAUAAACAUAACCUCUAAAUAACGAUCAUAUUGAACUGACUGAGACGAGUCAUUUUUAGGUAUAAAACACCGAUCGAGGAUAUAUAAAAUUUGGAAAUAAAUUCUUCGAACAUCUGUGUAUACUCAGUGCUUUGUUUUUAAGUAUAUAAAGUGUAAUGAUUGAAUCAUCAAUGAAAUAUUUAAAAUUACAUGUCAACUAUCUUAUCAUAUAAGAAUUUAUAUUGCUCGUGUGGAUAAAUUGAAUAACACUUGUUCCUAUCAAGAAUAAUUUAACAAGUGAAAAACCAAUUAUACAAAAUAUUUCUUAAUAUUAAAAGGAUUAGAGUAUUCACUGAACUUUUUUUUAAUAAAAUCUCUUACUUAACAGAAUAACGAUAAAAUGUUUAUUGAUAAAAAUAUGUAUUAUCAUUGAAAGUCUGCUAAUUAUUAUUAUUAUAAAGGAUAAUUAUACAUCGUAUGACCAUUGAUAAAAAGUGAACGUAAAAUUUAAUAUGGUAUUGUCCAUAUAUUCUGCAUUUGAUCGGUGUUUCCAUCCAUAAAUUGCUCCAAUUUCAACACGGUCAAAUGCAUAUGAUUUAUAUGACUCGCUAAUUAUUCGAGUACUCUAUUCGACACUUUUAUUACAAACUUUCUCGUACAGAUAAGUGCAUUUGACUCGAUGUUGAAUCACUCGUAAUUUAAGAAACACAUAACACAUAUGUACGCUUUAGAAACGUCCUAUAAACAGCGCGUUCUACGUCGAUUUUCGCUACUUUCAACUUUUCGAAGUAGCGUGUAUUUAUGUUUUUCUAAGGUCGUUUCUCGUAUUAUUUAACGAAGGGAGAAAAAUAAGCUUUGAAAGUGCGACUAGAUAAGUUAUGUAUAGAAACUUAGAUGCGUGCAACAAUCGUUCGAUGUCGAAUCCAUUUAAUGGAAAUCGAUUGUCGGCGUGUCCUUCGAUAUAAUCGAAACUUAAUUCUUUGAAGCGAUAAUUGAAUUAAUUCCAAUUAUUAUUUUUCUUAUUAUCAUUAAGAUUAAACACUUAGUUCAAGUUUUUCAAUUUUUUUUCUGUAAAUUGAAUUUAUCAAUUUUUAUUUCUAUCCAUGUCACAGUAAAACAAACUAGAAAGAAAUAUCCCAGAUAACAACGCUUCAAAGAAUUAAGAUACAGCAUUUAGACGCGAAGCGUCGCAAAGAUGGACGAAUGUUUAUAGCUAUCUUGCACUGUUGUAGCCUGUUAAAAAAAUUGUAGAACGUUCGAGCGAAAUUGAAGAGUGCCAAAUUACGCAAAAGCAGAUCGAUCGCGAAACACGGCGACUGCUCGUCAAUUAAAAGAAAGAGAGAGAAAAAAGGAUGAAACCAGCAAGACUAACGCUCAGCACAAAAAAAGUAAGGUUAAACGUAAGGAUCUCCCCUCUCGACGACUGUCAAACCCCGAGAAAAAGGUAUCUCGUUAAUCAUGCUAAUUAAGAGAUGCGAUUUCUAUUAUAUAUGAGAACUAUAUGGUCCACAGGCAUCAAUGUUAGGAAUAAUUUUUUACGAUACGAUGAUCCGUGUAUACGAUAUAGAAUGACGCACGGUGAAAUCCAACGAUCAAAAAAACACGAUCGUAUCACGAUCACUCCUCUCGAGAUCGAGAAGAAGAAAGUUUAAACUCGCGAGGAAUGGCCGUUUAGCGCAAUCGUUACCAUCGUGCCCUUUUUAAGAAUUUUCCCUUAUUGAUGGACAUACUACUAUCGCGAGUCAUUAAAAUAAACAUCGAGGGUUCGAGAAAAAGAAAAGGAACGACGAUGCGUAUGUUCAUCGUGAAAAACUAUUCGCUCGACAUUCCCAUUGGCCCUAUGGUACCUGAGAAACCAGCGUAGGAUUGCUUUCUGCGGUUGCCACUGCGCCAUUAGGGUAGUUUGAGCGAAAUAACUAUUGUAAAAGGAAACUACUGUGGAAACAGGAACUGUUAUUGUUACACGAAUAAAGUAAAAUCCAUAUUACAUGA